GGUCACAGGGUUCUAUUCUUGAGGAGAAGGCUAGGAUAGCCCUCAGUGUAAAAAAGCUCUAUCGAAAACAGAGUAACCAAACGAUGAAAGCUGAAGGAGAACACUCCCGGCAGGCAGAAACAGAAAGAAGGUGAAGAGAAGAAAUAAAAGAGAAGAGAAUGAGUAGCCACUGCACCUUGCCCUGGGCCAUCAAUGAGAAGAUCUGCUCUUAGUAGAGCCCUGCUUUCCCGCUGAAGGCCCUGAAUUCACCUGUGUUCCAGGACACACACUAAGGAUCAGUAAAGCUCCUGCGAUGUGGGGAAUUAGCUCAAGUGGUAGAGUGCUUGCUUAGCAUGCAAGAGGUAGUGGGAUCGAUGCCCACAUUCUCCAAGCUUUAUUAUUUGGACCUUGGGUCUCCAAACACUCAAGUAUCCAAACUCAAGUUAGUGACUGAGAGCAGGAUGCUGCUUUAGUUCAAGACAUAGAAGCAGCAACAAUACAGGGCUGGUGAUGGCUCCCUCCUGGCAUUCAGUAUAGUGUAGAUCUACUGUGUAAUUCAUUCGCUGUUUCUUCAAAGAGCUGUGAAACCAAGGGACAUAUACAACUGCUCUUUUCUCCCUGUUUUUGCCUGCAGCUUGGUCCUAAACGUCAGACAGUUGUGAAAAGUGCAGGGCAGAGCCACCUGGGUAAAUACAGCCUCGGCUUUCCGCUCAGGGGACUGAAACCAGGAUGUGUCAAGUAACUAGAACGUGCCUGGACAGAUACUGUAGAAAGCAAACCCAUAAAGUUGUUCAUGAGCUUGUGGACACACCCGCCAGCUGUGAACAAGUGGCUCUAAUCCCAAACAACUUACCUACAAAGAGCCUGAGAGCUGAACUGCACAAUGGCCCACUUUCCAGUCCUCACUGAAGUUGCACACACUCCGGAAAUCUCUGAACAGUAGUGUCGAGGCUUUGCAAAUAGAGUUAUCUUUGAAACAGUAACACAUGGAAGGCUGGUUGGUACUUGGAACUUGAAUGCAAGGCAAUUUUGUGCCUGCAAAAAUAAAAAUAGCAAUAUUAUUCUUAAGAUUUCAACAAAACACAGUGUCUCAUCACAUAAUCCAAAGAAGUCCAGGUUACAAGCCCCAAAGUAUUCAGCAUUAUGAAAAAAACAGGGAAUCUUAAUUCACAUGGCAAAGAGACUCCUCGAAUAACAAUACUGAGAGGACACAGAUGUCAAAAUCAUCUGGCGCAUACAGAAGCACAGUUACGAUAACAAUGCUCCUAGAAUUAGGGAUAACAUUUGUGAAGAGAAUGGAGAGUUGGAAAGUCUCAGCAAAUAUCUGGAAUAUAUAAACAUCAAUUUUAAGCUUAAGAAUUAAAAAAAAAUGUAUUAACCAAAACUCUUAGGGGAAAUAAAAAGCUUAACUGCAUGAUCUCAGUAACAGAAUUCAGAUGACUAAGAAAAAGUCAACGAACUUGAAAACAGAACAAGAAUACCUACAUAAUCUGAACUAUAGAGAGAAAGGAGUAGUUCUGUAAAUGAACAGAGGCUCAGGGACAAAUAAAAAAUAGCAAAUCUAACAUUCACAUUAUUGUAAUCUGAAAAGAAGAGGACAAAGAGGUCUUUGUGGGAUAAAACUUUGAAGAAUUAAUGGCUGAAAACGUAUCAAAUUUGUCAAAAGAUAUAAACCAGGGUUUUAAAGUUCAGCAAAGGUCAAGCAGGAUAAACCCAAAGAAACCCAUUUCAAGACAUAUCAUAAUCAAACUGCUGAAAACGAGGAAAGUACAAAACAAUCUUGAAAGCAGUCAAAGGAAAAUGAAAAAGAAACUACCAUAUGAAUGAGUGUAGAUUUCUCAUCAGGAACCAUAGCGGCCAGAAAAAAAUGUCAUAAUAUUCAAUAAGUAACAAAAGAAAAAGACCUAUCAACCCAGAAUGCUAUGUGGAGCAAAAGUAUCUUUCAGACAUAAAGGGAAAUAAAUGCAUUCUCAUUGGAAGGUCUAGGGUGUCUAUACUUCCUCUGAAUUACCUGAUCCUACUACAGUGUCCGGCACAGAGCAUCUCCCCAGUGAAUAUGUACUAAAUGAGUGGAAAGUAAUUGAUAGAUUCAAAAGAGUUUUGCAAGAAUAAUGUUCAUUAUUUGGCAAAUCAUUGAAUGUGGUGUUUGAUGGAAGACAAUGAAUCAAAGUUGACUUGAAAGAGAAUAAGUACCCACUGAACUCUUGCCCUGGGCCAUCAAUGAGAAGAUCUGUUCUUGGUGGAGCCCUGCUUUCGCGGUGAAGGCCUUGAAGUCGCGUGUGUUCUAGACUGCCCACUAAGGAUGAAAAAAGAUGCUGUGAGAUGAAGAAGUAGCUCAAGUGGUCGAGUGCUCGCUUAGCAUGUGAGAGGUAGUGGGAUUGAUGCCCACAUUCUCCAGGUUUCACUAGUCGGACCUCAGGUCUUCAGGUUACAGUGGAAAAAAAUAUGUAUUAGACACUGAUCUCAGAAAACAAUAUGUUAGACACUGAUCUCAGUAGCAGCCAGGACACUUCUUUGGCUCAUUAUGUAAGGGCAGCAACAAUACGGGCUUGACUAAGAUUCUACUGGUGUGUGGUAUAGUAUAGAUCUAUCGAUGUGUAAUUAGUUUUCUGUUUCUUUGAGGAGCUGUGAUACAAAGGGACAUAUCCAGUUGCGCUUAUUCGCCCUGUUUCCUCCUGCAGCUUGGUCCUAAAUGCAGCAUAAUUAUGGAAAGUGCAGGGCGGAGCCACUCAGGUAAAUACAGCCCCAGCUUUCUGAUCAGGAGACCAAAACUAGGAGUUGCCAAGUAACCAGGAAAGACACUGUAGAGAGCAAACCUGUCAAGUUGUAUGUGAACUCCUGGAUGCGCCUGUGAGCUGUGAAUAAGUGGCUCUGAUCAAAGACAACUUAUCUAAAAAGAGUCUGAGAAUCGAACUAAGUGAGAGCCUACUUUCCAGUCCUCACUGGCCACUGGGUUGCACACACUCCAGAGUCUCUGAAUAGCAGUGUUAAGGCUCUGAAAAUAGACUUGACUUUGAAACUACAACACACAAGGCUGGCUGGUUAUUGGAACUUGAACACAAGGCAAUCAUGUGCCUGCAAAAACAAAAAUAGCAAUAUUAUCCUUAAGAUUUCAACAAGACACAGUGUCUCAUCACAUAAUGCAAAGUACAACCCCAAAAUAUUCAGCAUAUGAAGAACCAGGACAAUCUUAAUUCACUUGGCAAAGAGAAUCCUGGAAUAACAAUACUGAGAAGACACAGAUGUUACAAUCAUCUGACACAUACUUUUAAACAGUUAUUAUAACAAUGCUCCAUGAAUGAAGGGAUAACACUCUUGAAGUGAAUGGAAAGUUGGGAAGUCUUAGCAAGUAUCUGGAAGCUCUAAACACUGAUUUUAAACUUAAAAAUUAAAAAAUGUAUUCAUCGAAACUAUUAGGAGAAAAAAGCUUCAAUGGGUUAUUUCAAUAACAAAAUUGAGACACUCAGAAUAAAGUCAAUGAACUCGAAAACAGAACAAAAAUACCAACCUAACCUGAACAAUAGAGAAAAAGGAGUGUUUUUGCAAAUGAACAGAGCCUCCGCGACAAACAGAAAAAUAAGAAAAAUCUAACACAUCAUUGUGAUCCUGCAGGAAGAAGAGAAAGAGGUCCCCCAGAAAGAAAACUUUGAAGAAUUAAUGGCUGAAAACAUAUCAAAUUUAUCAAAAGACUUUAGAAGUUCAAUAAAUGUCAAGCAGGUUAAACCCAAAGAAAUCCAUACCCAGACACAUCAUAAUCAAACUGCUGAAAACUAAGGAAAACCAUAAAAAUCUUGAAGGCAGCCAGAUGAAAAUAAAAGGGAAACUGCCACUUGAAUGACUGUGGACUUCUCAUCAGAAACCAUAGGGGCCCAAGAGGAACAUUUACUAAAUACCAAAAGAAAAGACCUGUCAACCCAGAAUGCUAUGUGGAGCAAAAAUAUCUUUCAGACUAAAGGUAAAUAAAUACAUUCUCACAGGAAGGUAAACUGAGAGAAUUCAUUGCUAGUAGAACUGCUGGACAAGAAUUAGCAAAGAUUUAAGAUGAGAAAAAUGAUACCAGAAGGAAACACGACACCAUCAGUGCAGGAACGAAAGCAGAAAUAGAAAAUGUCUGGGUAGACAUUACAGACUAUUAUUCUUCUCUUGAGUUCCUUAAGGUAUGUUCAUGAUUGAAAGCAAAAGUUGUAACUUUAUCUGAUGCAGUUGUCAUUGUAUCUAGAUGUACUACAUACAUAACAUAAAAGGGUAAAGGUAAAGGGCCUAACUGCUGAUGAAGUUUCUAUAUUCAACUUGAAUGGUAAAAUAUUGAUUCUACGUAUACUGUGAAAGGUUAUAUAUGUAUAUGGUGAUCCCUAGACCACUUAGGAACCAGAUUUAAAUAAACCAAAAUAAACUAGGAAGAAGAACAUGGAAGAAUUAAGACAAGAGGAACAAAUGAUUAAUAAAUUAUUAAAAAGUAGAUCUAUCGGCUGGGCCCGGGGUCUCACGCCUGUAAUCCCAGCACUUUGGGAGGCCGAGGCGGGUGGAUCACCUGAGGUCAGGAGUUUGAGACCAGCCUGGCCAGCAUGGUGAAACCCUGUCUCUACCAAAAAUACAAAAAAUUAGCCAGGCUUGGAGCCGGGUGCCUGUAAUCCGGGCUACUUGGGAGGCUGAGACAGGAGAAUCACUUGAACCUGGGAGGCAGAGGUUGCAGUGAGGGGAGAUUGCACCAUUGCACUCCAGCCUGGGUGACAAGAGCAAGACUCCAUCUCAAAAAGAAAAACAAUAGAUCUAUCUAAAAACUUAUUUAUAAAAACAUUAAAUGUAAAUGAUCUAAAACAAUGAAUUGAAAACCGGAAAUUGUCAGAAUGUAUUAUAAAUGAAUAUGCUGACUAUAGGAAAGUCACUAGUAAUAUACUUAUAUGUGAGAUUAAAAGUUAUAUAGCAUAUUGAAAGUAAAGAAUGGGAAAAGAUAUGUCAUUUGGGCAUUACUCAAAGAAAGCUGUGGUGGAUAUAUUCAAAUCAGACAAACCAGAUUUUAAAUUGUAGAAAACUUCCAGGGAUAAAGGGGGCUGUUACAUAAUUAGAGGUGUCAACACACCAGAGAAAUAAUGUCCCAAAUGCAUAUAAGGACACAGGGCUUCAAAACUCAUAAGCAAAAUUGGAUAAUCCAGAUAAAAAUAGAAAAAUCCAAUUACAUUUGCAGACGUUAACACUCCCCUCUCAGUAACUGAUAGAUCCAGUAGACAAUAAAUCAGUAAACACAUUUGAGAACUGAACAACAUCCAUACAGCAACGGAUCUAAUCAAUCAACUUUCUAAAGCAAAAUCACAAUUUGGGUAGAAAGAAGAGAAAAAAAUUAAAAGAAAAACAAGAUCGUGUUAUCACUAGGAAAUCAGGAAUGUUCAGAGUGCAAAAGAGUGAUAUAUUGAAACUGACAUUUUUGAAAGGGUUAUUUAGCUGUAAAUGACAUGACACGGAGACUGAAAUUGUAAAACUGGACGUGGAUCUUCCCUUCUCCAUAUUUGUCCUGCCUUCUCCUGAGGUCUGGGCUGCUUGAAUCUUUAGAAUCUCCUGAACUUACUACAGUGUCUGGCACAGAGCAUCUUCCCUGUGAAUGUGUACUGAAUCAGUGGAAAGGAAUUGACAGAUUCAAAAGUGUUGUGCAGGAAUAAUGUUUACUAUUUGACAAAUCACUGGAUGUGGUGUUUGAAGGAGAAAAAUGUGUCAAAAGUUGACUUGGAAACAAAGCCCAAAAGGAGACCAGAGGAGGUGUAAGAGUGACUAAGAUCUCUGAAGGAGGGAGAAGUCAGAUCACUGGGCCACAAGAGGGAAAAAGUCAGCAAAACAG